UUGAUAAUUUUAACGUUAGUUCGUUUCAUACUGUGUAAAGACCAAGGCUGUUUUGAGCAAACGACUCGUUUUUCCUUUACAAUUUAUAAGGGUAAAACGAUUCGUUUGCCACAAAAACGAGUCAUUCAAAGGAAUGUGAGCCCAAAUAAUUGUCUAAAUUGUGCUUCAUUUAGCACAUCCCUGAAUAAAGUCAAAAAAUAAAAAUCAAAUUUUGACAAUAAAUUUUAUAAAAUAAACAAAAUUUUACAGAGAAGGCAAGAAAAGACAAAAAUAGUGCACCAUAAGAUUUAUGUUGGAGAUGUUUUUCAAAACGGCCUUUCCGAGGCUGCAGAUAUAUAUUUUUUGCUUUCUACAAAAUGUAAUUCUACUUUUUCUUACAGCGGAGUAAGAAAAGAAGACAAAAAUUCAAAAGCCAACAUCUCCACAAGUUUUGGCUUUGCGAGUAAUGCUGAUGUUACAUAGAUGUCUUUUUGAGGAUGAUUGUUCGCCUCAGAAAUCUUCACUGGCAAGAUUUUAGCAAUAGAUGCUGUGUGUGUGUGUGUGUGAACUGAUAAAAAGCCAUCGACAUCAUUUGUGACUCAUUAUCCGAAACACAAUUGCAGCGUCCUACUUGGGUCUUAUAGAAACUAAAUAAAUCUAAUAAAUAUUGUGGGAGAAAAAGAACAACGAAGCAUA